CUUUCCCUAUUCCCUAGGAAAUGUCUGUUUAGUAAUGAAUGUUUGGUUUGACUUUAUCAUCUAGAUAAUACAUGAUUUUUACACUUCCUAAGAACACAGGCAUUGUACAAAUAAAUAACAUAUGGUGCUGGUAAUAUAGACUUCUUUCUACCUGCUAACAAAAAAGAAUAAUAGAAUACCAUAUUACUAAAGUGAUUUCAGUCCCAAGGAAACCAACAAGGGUGUUUUAAAGCAUUGGCUUAAAGUCUGAUAGUAUAUUUAGGGCUGGAUGACUUGUGGGAGGUGGAAGGGGAGGAAGGAUAAGGGAAGCUCCCACUUAAUGGAUUUCAUAGGACAUAGUCUUCUCAGAGACGCCAUAUGCAUGAAAGUGUUCUAGGCUAAGCAGGGAGCAUUGGGGAACUUACCUGGGACUCUCUACAGUCCAUCACACCGCUCUGUUCUUACUGCCUUGAC
rnacentral:lncRNA from 1 species